rnacentral:misc_RNA from 1 species
UGUAUUUUGAUUGCAUUUGCGGUGAAAAUGAACGUAGUUUUGGUGUAGUGUGAAUAUAUUGGAAUGUUGAUCCGUUAACUGGAUACGUUGAUGCGGUGGGUGUGGUUAUAUGCCUCGCAAACUCUAGAGGCGAGAUCAAGACCGGCUGAUUGUUUGUUCUCUGAGGCGCCAGAAAAGACGAAAGUGGUAGUGUCCUUCAGGGGGACGAAUCAGCAACUGAAUCAGCAACAGGUGCAGAGGAGGAAGAUGAAGAGGCUGGAGAAAAGCGGAAACGAAGGAAAAUGGAUAUAUCUUGUAAUUUCGUGUUUUUCUUUUUUAUAGCCACGCUGUUCUAUUUUCUUCCAGUUUUGAUUUGGGAUUUCUGGAAAACAUGUCAAUAAAGUACAUUUUCAAAUUUGUGUAAAUGUGUUUCAGCUAGAAGUUAGAGUACACGGCAAUUACGUGCACGACUGCUUUCAACAAUCAGAUCAGCUAAAUCCUUAUCAAUUGCUCUAUACUAAAAAA